rnacentral:rRNA from 1 species
UACGUAGGUGGCAAGCGUUGUCCGGAAUUAUUGGGCGUAAAGCGCGCGCAGGCGGUCCUUUAAGUCUGAUGUGAAAUCACGUGGCUCAACCACGUGCGGUCAUUGGAAACUGGAGGGCUUGAGUGCAGAAGAGGAAAGUGGAAUUCCAAGUGUAGCGGUGAAAUGCGUAGAGAUUUGGAGGAACACCAGUGGCGAAGGCGACUUUCUGGUCCGAUACUGACGCUGAGGCGCGAAAGCGUGGGGAGCAAACAGG